ensembl:lncRNA novel transcript
AAAGCCUUUCAGGGUCUGUCUAUAUUUUCAGUCUGAUUCAGCUCUGAAGGCAUCGAAUACUACCUUUGUGUGCCUCAGGGCCUCUGGGGGCUUCACGAAGGGAGGGAGGCCCCUAGCCUGUGGCCCAGGCUCUCUCCACCACGCUGCCUCAGGCCCUAGGCUGGCCUAGGAAGCUCAGCAAACAGCACAAUCUCACCCUCACAGGAAAACUGAAACCACAGCCUCCAUCACUUGGCAAGGGUGGGGCCUCGGUCAGGGUUGGGGAACCCUCAUGGGCCCAGUGAGCAGGAUCAGAAAGAAGAAGGAGUCAAAGAGUGGUAAGGAGACAGAAGGGUGGAGAAGGGGGCAGGGGGCAGGGGGCAGAGAGCAGAGAGGAGCGGCACCAGCAGAGGGAAGUGGAGAGGGUAGGCUGGGACCAGGCCCUGGGGACCCGGGUGGGGUAUUUUCCCAUGGAAACAUGGGAGGUGGGGAGCUGCCUGGCUGCCUCAGUUUGCAGAUGUGACCCACCACCCUUUCUACACACACUGGGGCAGAAGGGUGCUCUUUCCGUUUCAUACCGUUUAGCCCAUCUGUGUCCCCAACCAAACCCUGGCCCAUUCCUCCAGCCCUAGACUCCCAAGCCCCAGCAGCAACAGUUGUCUGUCCAGCCCCCACCCCACCUCCUGGGACCCUCACCCACCCUGGCAGCAGAGGAAGGGGUGUGGAGGUCCAGGGAGAGGGUGCUGGAGCCCCACACAGACCCUGGCUCCAGGCUGUAGAAGCCAGGAGCCCACUAGGCCUUCCCCACCCCAUCAUUCACUGUCAGGCUUGGAGACCCGGCCCCCUCCAACGUCCCCAGCAUUGCCCACCGACUUACCCCGCAGGCUGAGGCCAGGGCGUGGCGGCUGCUGGGAUCCCGGAGCUUCUCAGUAGCAGGGGCUGCGGGAGGAAGUGAAGCCGGGAGGGGCUGCCGGCGCUGACAGCAGAGGAGCGGCGGAACCUCCCUCCCCAGCUCUGAGCACUAAGCUCCAGCAAGCAGGUUCUGGUCUCUCGGUCACCCUCAGCCCACCUGGCCAGCCGGCACGGUGGAGAACGGGAGCUUAACUCUCCCCUGUCAGGACAGGCUAGCCACCAGAGACUGACCAUCUGGACACACCCUGCUGCGAAUCAGGCUCCACCCCCACCCCUCCCCCUUCUAGCCACUAAGGUCUCAGGUGGGGGUGGGUGACACUCAGAGGCAGCCCUUGGAUGCUGGGGACUUGCCACCCAUGGAAGCUGCCAUGGAUGGGGGAUUCUUCCCCAAGUCCACUGACAGCUAUCUCCUCCCCUUCUCCACCACAUGCCUUCCAAGCAGCCGUGUGGCCCAUAAAUGGGCCUGAGUUGACCCAUGGCAGGGGAGAAAGCUGAUGUGGACAGCCCCCAGGGAGAGGCUCAGCCCAGCAGAUGCCCCUGGGAACACAGUCCCACCCACCCAUCCACCCAGCAGUUGGGGGACUUUCCCACCUCCCAGGACCUUCUCCCAGCCUCCUGACCCCAGGACUCUGAUGGCUAAAGUUCCCCUAAAGGUGCUCCAAGCACCAGCCAGCAGGUGGAGACAAGGAGGUGGGCACGCACUGCUAAAAUCAGACCUCACCACCAACGGGGCCCUGGUCUGGACUCAGUCUUGGAGCUUGGGGACCCAACCACCACCGAAGUAGCCCUAGGAAUCUCUCUCCCUCACUCCCAAAACCUGGCAUCAGCUCUUCCUCCAAAAUUUGUCUUUCUGAGUGGUCCAAGCCACUAUCACUGCUCCCCUGGGCAACUGCAGCCACCUCCAAACUGGUCUCCCUGCUUCAUUCUUGCCCCACACUCAUAAUCCAUUUCUCCUUAUAGCAACUGAAGUGACCUUUUAAAAAUGGGAACCAGGGCCGGGCGCAGUGGCUCACACCUGUAAUCCCAGCACUUUGGGAGGCCGAGGUGCAUGGAUCACUUGAGGUCAGGAGUUCAAGACCAGCCUGGCUAACAUGGCAAAACCCCAUCUCUACUAAAAAUACAAAUAUUAGCUGGAUAUGGUGGUGGGCACCUGUAAUCUCAGCUACUUGGGAGGCUGACGCAGGAGAAUCGCUUGAACCUGGGAGGCGGAAGUUGCAGUGAGCUGAGAUUGUGCCACUGCACACCAGCCUGGACAACAGAGCGAGACUCUGUGUC